UCUGGGUAAACGCUGUGAACUUGUUCAUAGAGGAAAGUCCACGCUUGCACUAUCUGGGAUGAUAGUAGUGUUUGUGCUUAGGAAAAAAAUAACCUAAGGAAGUUUAUACUUACGGCGUUUUUUAUCUUCUAAGGAGUUAUCUAUGAAGAUAGAAGCAUAAAGUGCCACAGUGACGAAGUUUAUAGAAAUAUAAAAGUGAAACGAGGUAAACCCCACAAGCAAGAAACUCAAAUUUUGGUAGAGGAACUAGUUAGAGAGAAAAAAGAAUUAAUAACUGGAUAGAGAAAUCUAUAGAUAAAUGUUUACCGCCUACUUGUAGGUACAGAACGUGGCUUAUAA
rnacentral:RNase_P_RNA from 1 species